rnacentral:rRNA from 1 species
GACGAACGCUGGCGGCGUGCCUAAUACAUGCAAGUCGAGCGGACGGAUGGGAGCUUGCUCCCAGACCGUCAGCGGCGGACGGGUGAGUAACCCGUGGGCAACCUGCCUGUAAGACUGGGAUAACCCCGGGAAACCGGGGCUAAUACCGGAUAACUCUUUCCCUCCCAUGAGGGAAAGCUGAAAGAUGGCAUCUCGCUAUCACUUACAGAUGGGCCCGCGGCGCAUUAGCUAGUUGGUGAGGUAACGGCUCACCAAGGCGACGAUGCGUAGCCGACCUGAGAGGGUGAUCGGCCACACUGGAACUGAGACACGGCCCAGACUCCUACGGGAGGCAGCAGUAGGGAAUCUUCCGCAAUGGACGAAAGUCUGACGGAGCAACGCCGCGUGAGUGAUGAAGGUUUUCGGAUCGUAAAACUCUGUUGUCAGGGAAGAACAAGUACCGGAGUAACUGCCGGUACCUUGACGGUACCUGACCAGAAAGCCACGGCUAACUACGUG